GGUAUAUCCAGGACAUCAGCACAUAGAACCAGUGAAAGGGUCCUCCCUCAUAGUGACGCAUGUCAUAGACUCAGAUUUAUACAAACAAAUGCUGAGCAAACCAUGAAGAGUCUCUGGUAUUUUCAACAAUAUCAUCACAGAGGAACUGUAUUGAUUUCCUUCCUUCAGUGGUCCAAGAACCUGCUGCUCCCGGGUCCUCUCAUUUGAAGACACCCACCGCCUAAGGAUGAAGAGAAGCUCCUUCUUGCAGAUCUGAGGCUGAUUUCCCAACUCCCAGGAACACCCUACCCACAGCCUGUUCCCCAGACCCAGGAAUUCUUGACCAAGACUACAAAUGUAGCCCAUUUGACAUCGAAAACAUUGGGACAGGUGUGAGAGUGAGGAAAAUGGGGAGAAAAAAGAACUUUGAAGACAAGGAUUUGAAGUUAGCAUGAAGCAUGGAAAGGAGGAAGGGCAAGCUUUCUGCAGUGAGGACAGUGCCUGCCAGAGAAAACCAGAUCCUGGGGAGGGGUUUCUCCAGAAAGAGAAAGUCAAAGCUGCAGAUGGGGUUUGCAGGAGCAAUGGCUGUAGGGACACUAAGAUUUCACCCUCCAGAAGACAGCAUCUUCCUGUGCCAUGGCUAGAUCACCAGCUACCCACAGACAGCCUGAACUCCAAUUGUCUUCCUGCACAUGUGCCUUUAAAGGAACUUUUCAAAUGUAGAGGAGCCUUUAGAAGGAAGCCUUGAGCAUGAGGACAGACCCCCCUCAUCCAACCACCACCUGACUCUGUGUGAACCUGGAACUGUUAGAAUGUCUGUGCUGUGAUAAAAGGUCAUCUCCCUACAAUGUUAUGAUACAGACCUCAAACCUACAAACAUGAGGAACUUCUGCCUCCAGGUUAACUGCUUACCCACUGUACAAGACACGUUACACACAGUCCAGGAGGCGGAGCUUCUGAGAUAUCUAGAAACAGCUUAGAGGCAAAAUGACAAAAUAAAGCAGCAACAACAAAUAAAACCAAUCUUCUCGAA
ensembl:lncRNA LINC01255 long intergenic non-protein coding RNA 1255